CCUGGGAACUGCGUUNUGAACUGGGUAGCUAGAGUAUGUCAGAGGGGGGUAGAAUUCCACGUGUAGCAGUGAAAUGCGUAGAGAUGUGGAGGAAUACCGAUGGCGAAGGCAGCCCCCUGGGAUAAUACUGACGUUCAUGCUCGAAAGCGUGGGUAGCAAACAGGAUUAGAUACCCUGGUAGUCCACGCCCUAAACGAUGUCGAUUAGCUGUUGGGCAACUUGAUUGCUUAGUAGCGUAGCUAACGCGUGAAAUCGACCGCCUGGGGAGUACGGUCGCAAGAUUAAAACUCAAAGGAAUUGACGGGGACCCGCACAAGCGGUGGAUGAUGUGGAUUAAUUCGAUGCAACGCGAAGAACCUUACCUGGUCUUGACAUGUACGGAACCUUCCAGAGACGGAAGGGUGCCUUCGGGAACCGUAACACAGGUGCUGCAUGGCUGUCGUCAGCUCGUGUCGUGAGAUGUUGGGUUAAGUCCCGCAACGAGCGCAACCCUUGUCAUUAGUUGCCAUCAUUUAGUUGGGCACUCUAAUGAGACUGCCGGUGACAAACCGGAGGAAGGUGGGGAUGACGUCAAGUCCUCAUGGCCCUUAUGACCAGGGCUUCACACGUCAUACAAUGGUCGGUACAGAGGGUAGCCAAGCCGCGAGGUGGAGCCAAUCCCAGAAAACCGAUCGUAGUCCGGAUUGCACUCUGCAACUCGAGUGCAUGAAGUCGGAAUCGCUAGUAAUCGCAGGUCAGCAUACUGCGGUGAAUACGUUCCCGGGUCUUGU
rnacentral:rRNA from 1 species